AGAAGACUGACUGUGGGAGGUUUGUCACUCACAGUGAGGAAAAAGAGAUCAGAGAUUCCGUAGAACUUGGAGAGCUGGUAAGAAACCACCAAGCCAGCAUGUUCCUGGUCUUCACUAUUCCAUGAAUUCUGCUAUUUGCAAAGGAAACACUUGUAGUCCAGGACUGAAGGUCAUUCAUGACUUCGACAGAGAGCAAGGACAAUGAGGGUUAAGUGACUUGCCCAGGGUGACACAGCUAGUAAGUGUCAAGGCCAGAUU